rnacentral:lncRNA from 1 species
GGCCAUUUUUCCGCUGGGGGGUCUUGGGACCCCGACCUUCGGGGGCUGAUUUUUGGGCGCGGCUGUGCCCGUGGCCUAUUUUUGGUACACAGAGGCCGCCCGCCAAGUAUGGUGCCAUUCCGAGUCCCGCGGACGAACUUCGCCCACGCCCCCCACCAAGGCUAUAGCCCACCCGUUUUUUGGCCAGUUUUCCGCUGGGGGGUCUUGGGACCCCGACCAUCGGGGGCUGAUUUUUGGGCGCGGCUGUGCCCGUGGCCUAUUUUUGGCACACAGAGGCCGCCCGCCAAGUAUGGUGCCAUUCCGAGUCCCGCGGACGAACUUCGCCCACGCCGCCCACCAAGGCUAUAGCCCACCCGUUUUUUGGCCAUUUUUCCGCUGGGGGGUCUUGGGACCCCGACCUUCGGGGGCUCAUUUUUGGGCGCGGCUGUGCCCGUGGCCUAUUUUUGGCACACAGAGGCCGCCCGCCAAGUAUGGUGCCAUUCCGAGUCCCGCGGACGAACUUCGCCCACGCCGCCCACCAAGGCUAUAGCCCACCCGUUUUUUGGCCAUUUUUCCGCUGGGGGGUCUUGGGACCCCGACCUUCGGGGGCUGAUUUUUGGGCGCGGCUGUGCCCGUGGCCUAUUUUUGGCACACAGAGGCCGCCCGCCAAGUAUGGUGCCAUUCCGAGUCCCGCGGACGAACUUCGCCCACGCCCCCCACCAAGGCUAUAGCCCACCCGUUUUUUGGCCAGUUUUCCGCUGGGGAGUCUUGGGUCCCCGACCAUCGGGGGCUUAUUUUCGGGCGCGGCUGUGCCCGUGGCCUAUUUUUGGCACACAGAGGCCGCCCGCCAAGUAUGGUGCCAUUCCGAGUCGCGCGGACGAACUUCGCCCACGCCCCCCACCAAGGCUAUAGCCCACCCGUUUUUUGGCCAUUUUUCCGCUGGGGGGUCUUGGGACCCCGACCUUCGGGGGCUGAUUUUUGGGCGCGGCUGUGCCCGUGGCCUAUUUUUGGUACACAGAGGCCGCCCGCCAAGUAUGGUGCCAUUCCGAGUCCCGCGGACGAACUUCGCCCACGCCCCCCACCAAGGCUAUAGCCCACGCGUUUUUUGGCCAUUUUUCCGCUGGGGGGUCUUGGGUCCCCGACCUUCGGGGGCUGAUUUUUGGGCGCGGCUGUGCCCGUGGCCUAUUUUUGGCACACAGAGGCCGCCCGCCAAGUAUGGUGCCAUUCCGAGUCCCGCGGACGAACUUCGCCCACGCCCCCCACCAAGGCUAUAGCCCACCCGUUUUUUGGCCAUUUCUCCGCUGGGGGGUCUUGGGACCCCGACCUUCGGGGGCUGAUUUUUGGGAGAGGCUGUGCCCGUGGCCUAUUUUUAGCACACGGAUGCCCCCCGCCAAGUCUGGUGCCAUUCCGAGUCCCGCGGACGAACUUCGCCCACGCCGCCCACCAAGGCUAUAGCCCACCCGUUUUUUGGCCAUUUUUCCGCUGGGGGGUCUUGGGACCCCGACCUUCGGGGGCUGAUUUUUGGGCGCGGCUGUGCCCGUGGCCCCAUUUUUGGUACACAGAGGCCGCCCGCCAAGUAUGGUGCCAUUCCGAGUCCCGCGGACGAACUUCGCCCACGCCGCCCACCAAGGCUAUAGCCCACCCGUUUUUUGGCCAGUUUUCCGCUGGGGGGUCUUGGGACCCCGACCAUCGGGGGCUGAUUUUUGGGCGCGGCUGUGCCCGUUGCCUAUUUUUGGCACACAGAGGCCGCCCGCCAAGUAUGGUGCCAUUCCGAGUCCCGCGGACGAACUUCGCCCACGCCGCCCACCAAGGCUAUAGCCCACCCGUUUUUUGGCCAUUUUUCCGCUGGGGGGUCUUGGGACCCCGACCUUCGGGGGCUGAUUUUUGGGCGCGGCUGUGCCCGUGGCCUAUUUUUGGUACACAGAGGCCGCCCGCCAAGUAUGGUGCCAUUCCGAGUCCCGCGGACGAACUUCGCCCACGCCCCCCACCAAGGCUAUAGCCCACCCGUUUUUUGGCCAGUUUUCCGCUGGGGAGUCUUGGGACCCCGACCAUCGGGGGCUGAUUUUUGGGCGCGGCUGUGCCCGUGGCCUAUUUUUGGCACACAGAGGCCGCCCGCCAAGUAUGGUGCCAUUCCGAGUCCCGCGGACGAACUUCGCCCACGCCCCCCACCAAGGCUAUAGCCAACCCGUUUUUUGGCCAUUUUUCCGCUGGGGGGUCUUGGGACCCCGACCUUCGGGGGCUGAUUUUUGGGCGCGGCUGUGCCCGUGGCCUAUUUUUGGCACACAGAGGCCGCCCGCCAAGUAUGGUGCCAUUCCGAGUCCCGCGGACGAACUUCGCCCACGCCGCCCACCAAGGCUAUAGCCCACCCGUUUUUUGGCCAUUUUUCCGCUGGGGGGUCUUGGGACCCCGACCUUCGGGGGCUGAUUUUUGGGCGCGGCUGUGCCCGUGGCCUAUUUUUGGUACACAGAGGCCGCCCGCCAAGUAUGGUGCCAUUCCGAGUCCCGCGGACGAACUUCGCCCACGCCCCCCACCAAGGCUAUAGCCCACCCGUUUUUUGGCCAUUUUUCCACUGGGGGGUCUUGGGACCCCGACCUUCGGGGGCUGAUUUUUGGGCGCGGCUGUGCCCGUGGCCUAUUUUUGGCACACAGAGGCCGCCCGCCAAGUAUGGUGCCAUUCCGAGUCCCGCGGACGAACUUCGCCCACGCCCCCCACCAAGGCUAUAGCCCACCCGUUUUUUGGCCAUUUUUCCGCUGGGGGGUCUUGGGACCCCGACCUUCGGGGGCUGAUUUUUGGGCGCGGCUGUGCCCGUGGCCUAUUUUUGGCACACAGAGGCCGCCCGCCAAGUAUGGUGCCAUUCCGAGUCCCGCGGACGAACUUCGCCCACGCCCCCCACCAAGGCUAUAGCCCACCCGUUUUUUGGCCAUUUUUCCGCUGGGGGGUCUUGGGACCCCGACCUUCGGGGGCUGAUUUUUGGGCGCGGCUGUGCCCGUGGCCUAUUUUUGGCACACAGAGGCCGCCCGCCAAGUAUGGUGCCAUUCCGAGUCCCGCGGACGAACUUCGCCCACGCCGCCCACCAAGGCUAUAGCCCACCCGUUUUUUGGCCAUUUUUCCGCUGGGGGGUCUUGGGACCCCGACCUUCGGGGGCUGAUUUUUGGGCGCGGCUGUGCCCGUGGCCUAUUUUUGGUACACAGAGGCCGCCCGCCAAGUAUGGUGCCAUUCCGAGUCCCGCGGACGAACUUCGCCCACGCCCCCCACCAAGGCUAUAGCCCACCCGUUUUUUGGCCAUUUUUCCGCUGGGGGGUCUUGGGACCCCGACCUUCGGGGGCUGAUUUUUGGGCGCGGCUGUGCCCGUGGCCUAUUUUUGGCACACAGAGGCCGCCCGCCAAGUAUGGUGCCAUUCCGAGUCCCGCGGACGAACUUCGCCCACGCCGCCCACCAAGGCUAUAGCCCACCCGUUUUUUGGCCAUUUUUCCGCUGGGGGGUCUUGGGACCCCGACCUUCGGGGGCUGAUUUUUGGGCGCGGCUGUGUCCGUGGCCUACUUUUGGCACACAGAGGCCGCCCGCCAAGUAUGGUGCCAUUCCGAGUCCCGCGGACGAACUUCGCCCACGCCGCCCACCAAGGCUAUAGCCCACCCGUUUUUUGGCCAUUUUUCCGCUGGGGGGUCUUGGGACCCCGACCUUCGGGGGCUGAUUUUUGGGCGCGGCUGUGCCCGUGGCCUAUUUUUGGCACACGGAGGCCGCCCGCCAAGUCAGGGGCCAUUCCGAGUCCCGCGGACGAAGUUCGCCCACGCCCCCCACCAAGGCUAUAGCCCACCCGUUUUUUGGCCAUUUUUCCGCUGGGGGGUCUUGGGACCCCGACCUUCGGGGGCUGAUUUUUGGGCGCGGCUGUGCCCGUGGCCUAUUUUUGGCACACGGAGGCCGCCCGCCAAGUCAGGGGCCAUUCCGAGUCCCGCGGACGAAGUUCGCCCACGCCCCCCACCACGGCUAUAGCCCACCCGUUUUUUGGCCAUUUUUCCACUGGGGGGUCUUGGGACCCCGACCUUCGGGGGCUGAUUUUUGGGCGCGGCUGUGCCCGUGGCCUAUUGUUGGCACACGGAGGCCGCCCGCCAAGUCAGGGGCCAUUCCGAGUCCCGCGGACGAACUUCGCCCACGCCCCCCACCAAGGCUAUAGCCCACCCGUUUUUUGGCCAUUUUUCCGCUGGGGGGUCUUGGGACCCCGACCUUCGGGGUCUGAUUUUUGGGCGCGGCUGUGCCCGUGGCCUAUUUUUGGCACACGGAGGCCGCCCGCCAAGUCAGGGGCCAUUCCGAGUCCCGUGGACGAAGUUCGCCCACGCCCCCCACCAAGGCUAUAGCCCACCCGUUUUUGGCCAUUUUCCGCUGGGGGAUCUUGGGACCCCGACCUUCGGGGGCUGAUUUUUGGGCGCGGCUGUGCCCGUGGCCUAUUUUUGGCACACGGAGGCCGCCCGCCAAGUAAGGUGCCAUUCCGAGUCCCGCGGACGAACUUCGCCCACGCCCCCCACCAAGGCUAUAGCCCACCCGUUUUUUGGCCAUUUUUCCGCUGGGGGGUCUUGGGACCCCGACCUUCGGGGGCUGAUUUUUGGGCGCGGCUGUGCCCGUGGCCUAUUUUUGGCACACGGAGGCCGCCCGCCAAGUAUGGUGCCAUUCCGAGUCCCGCGGACGAACUUCGCCCACGCCGCCCACCAAGGCUAUAGCCCACCCGUUUUUUGGCCAUUUUUCCGCUGGGGGGUCUUGGGACCCCGACCUUCGGGGGCUGAUUUUUGGGCGCGGCUGUGCCCGUGGCCUAUUUUUGGCACACGGAGGCCGCCCGCCAAGUCAGGUGCCAUUCCGAGUCCCGCGGACGAAGUUUGCCCACGCCCCCCACCAAGGCUAUAGCCCACCCGUUUUUUGGCCAUUUUUCCGCUGGGGGGUCUUGGGACCCCGACCUUCGGGGGCUGAUUUUUGGGCGCGGCUGUGCCCGUGGCCUAUUUUUGGCACACGGAGGCCGCCCGCCAAGUAUGGUGCCAUUCCGAGUCCCGCGGACGAACUUCGCCCACGCCGCCCACCAAGGCUAUAGCCCACCCGUUUUUUGGCCAUUUUUCCGCUGGGGGGUCUUGGGACCCCGACCUUCGGGGGCUGAUUUUUGGGCGCGGCUGUGCCCGUGGCCUAUUUUUGGUACCCGGAGGCCGCCCGCCAAGUCAGGGGCCAUUCCGAGUCCCGCGGACGAAGUUCGCCCACGCCCCCCACCAAGGCUAUAGCCCACCCGUUUUUUGGCCAUUUUUCCGCUGGGGGGUCUUGGGACCUCGACCUUCGGGGGCUGAUUUUUGGGCGCGGCUGUGCCCGUGUCCUAUUUUUGGCACACGGAGGCCGCCCGCCAAGUCAGGGGCCAUUCCGAGUCCCGCGGACGAAGUUCGCCCACGCCCCCCACCAAGGCUAUAGCCCACCCGUUUUUUGGCCAUUUUUCCGCUGGGGGGUCUUGGGACCCCGACCUUCGGGGGCUGAUUUUUGGGCGCGGCUGUGCCCGUGGCCUAUUUUUGGCACACAGAGGCCGCCCGCCAAGUAUGGUGCCAUUCCGAGUCCCGCGGACGAACUUCGCCCACGCCGCCCACCAAGGCUAUAGCCCACCCGUUUUUUGACCAUUUUUCCGCUGGGGGGUCUUGGGACCCCGACCUUCGGGGGCUGAUUUUUGGGCGCGGCUGUGCCCGUGGCCUAUUUUUGGUACCCGGAGGCCGUCCGCCAAGUCAGGGGCCAUUCCGAGUCCCGCGGACGAAGUUCGCCCACGCCCCCCACCAAGGCUAUAGCCCACCCGUUUUUUGGCCAUUUUUCCGCUGGGGGGUCUUGGGACCCCGACCUUUGGGGGCUGAUUUUUGGGCGCGGCUGUGCCCGUGGCCUAUUUUUGGCACACGGAGGCCGCCCGCCAAGUCAGGGGCCAUUCCGAGUCCCGCGGACGAAGUUCGCCCACGCCCCCCACCAAGGCUAUAGCCCACCCGUUUUUUGGCCAUUUUUCCGCUGGGGGGUCUUGGGACCCCGACCUUCGGGGGCUGAUUUUUGGGCGCGGCUGUGCCCGUGGCCUAUUUUUGGCACACAGAGGCCGCCCGCCAAGUAUGGUGCCAUUCCGAGUCCCGCGGACGAACUUCGCCCACGCCCCCCACCAAGGCUAUAGCCCCACCCGUUUUUUGGCCAUUUUUCCCGCUUGGGGGGGUCUUGGGACCCCGACCUUCGGGGGCUGAUUUUUGGGCGCGGCUGUGCCCGUGGCCUAUUUUUGGCACACGGAGACCGCCCGCCAAGUAUGGUGCCAUUCCGAGUCCCGCGGACGAACUUCGCCCACGCCCCCCACCAAGGCUAUAGCCCACCCGUUUUUUGGCCAUUUUUCCGCUGGGGGGUCUUGGGACCCCGACCUUCGGGGGCUGAUUUUUGGGCGCGGCUGUGCCCGUGGCCUAUUUUUGGCACACGGAGGCCGCCCGCCAAGUAUGGUGCCAUUCCGAGUCCCGCGGACGAACUUCGCCCACGCCGCCCACCAAGGCUAUAGCCCACCCGUUUUUUGGCCAUUUUUCCGCUGGGGGGUCUUGGGACCCCGACCUUCGGGGGCUGAUUUUUGGGCGCGGCUGUGCCCGUGGCCUAUUUUUGGCACACGGAGGCCGCCCGCCAAGUCAGGGGCCAUUCCGAGUCCCGCGGACGAAGUUCGCCCACGCCCCACACCAAGGCCAUAGCCCACCCGUUUUUUGGCCAUUUUUCCGCUGGGGGGUCUUGGGACCCCGACCUUCGGGGGCUGAUUUUUGGGCGCGGCUGUGCCCGUGGCCUAUUUUUGGCACACAGAGGCCGCCCGCCAAGUAUGGUGCCAUUCCGAGUCCCGCGGACGAACUUCGCCCACGCCGCCCACCAAGGCUAUAGCCCACCCGUUUUUUGGCCAUUUUUCCGCUGGGGGGUCUUGGGACCUCGACCUUCGGGGGCUGAUUUUUGGGCGCGGCUGUGCCCGUGUCCUAUUUUUGGCACACGGAGGCCGCCCGCCAAGUCAGGGGCCAUUCCGAGUCCCGCGGACGAAGUUCGCCCACGCCCCCCACCAAGGCUAUAGCCCACCCGUUUUUUGGCCAUUUUUCCGCUGGGGGGUCUUGGGACCCCGACCUUCGGGGGCUGAUUUUUGGGCGCGGCUGUGCCCGUGGCCUAUUUUUGGCACACGGAGGCCGCCCGCCAAGUCAGGGGCCAUUCCGAGUCCCGCGGACGAACUUCGCCCACGCCCCCCACCAAGGCUAUAGCCCACCCGUUUUUUGGCCAUUUUUCCGCUGGGGGGUCUUGGGACCCCGACCUUCGGGGGCUGAUUUUUGGGCGCGGCUGUGCCCGUGGCCUAUUUUUGGCACACAGAGGCCGCCCGCCAAGUAUGGUGCCAUUCCGAGUCCCGCGGACGAACUUCGCCCACGCCCCCCACCAAGGCUAUAGCCCACCCGUUUUUUGGCCAUUUUUCCGCUGGGGGGUCUUGGGACCCCGACCUUCGGGGGCUGAUUUUUGGGCGCGGCUGUGCCCGUGGCCUAUUUUUGGCACACGGAGGCCGCCCGCCAAGUCAGGGGCCAUUCCGAGUCCCGCGGACGAAGUUCGCCCACGCCCCCCACCAAGGCUAUAGCCCACCCGUUUUUUGGCCAUUUUUCCGCUGGGGGGUCUUGGGACCCCGACCUUCGGGGUCUGAUUUUUGGGCGCGGCUGUGCCCGUGGCCUAUUUUUGGCACACAGAGGCCGCCCGCCAAGUAUGGUGCCAUUCCGAGUCCCGCGGACGAACUUCGCCCACGCCCCCCACCAAGGCUAUAGCCCACCCGUUUUUUGGCCAUUUUUCCGCUGGGGGGUCUUGGGACCCCGACCUUCGGGGGCUGAUUUUUGGGCGCGGCUGUGCCCGUGGUCUAUUUUUGGCACACGGAGGCCGCCCGCCAAGUCAGGGGCCAUUCCGAGUCCCGCGGACGAACUUCGCCCACGCCGCCCACCAAGGCUAUAGCCCACCCGUUUUUUGGCCAUUUUUCCGCUGGGGGGUCUUGGGACCCCGACCUUCGGGGGCUGAUUUUUGUGCGCGGCUGUGCCCGUGGCCUAUUUUUGGCACACAGAGGCCGCCCGCCAAGUAUGGUGCCAUUCCGAGUCCCGCGGACGAACUUCGCCCACGCCCCCCACCAAGGCUAUAGCCCACCCGUUUUUUGGCCAUUUUUCCGCUGGGGGGUCUUGGGACCCCGACCUUCGGGGGCUGAUUUUUGGGCGCGGCUGUGCCCGUGGCCUAUUUUUGGCACACGGAGGCCGCCCGCCAAGUCAGGGGCCAUUCCGAGUCCCGCGGAUGAAGUUCGCCCACGCCCCCCACCAAGGCUAUAGCCCACCCGUUUUUUGGCCAUUUUUCCACUGGGGGGUCUUGGGACCCCGACCUUCGGGGGCUGAUUUUUGUACGCGGCUGUGCCCGUGGCCUAUUUUUGGCACACAGAGGCCGCCCGCCAAGUAUGGUGCCAUUCCGAGUCCCGCGGACGAACUUCGCCCACGCCCCCCACCAAGGCUAUAGCCCACCCGUUUUUUGGCCAUUUUUCCGCUGGGGGGUCUUGGGACCCCGACCUUCGGGGGCUGAUUUUUGGGCGCGGCUGUGCCCGUGGCCUAUUUUUGGCACACGGAGGCCGCCCGCCAAGUCAGGGGCCAUUCCGAGUCCCGCGGACGAAGUUCGCCCACGCCCCCCACGAAGGCUAUAGCCCACCCAUUUUUUGGCCAUUUUUCCACUGGGGGGUCUUGGGAGCCCGACCUUCGGGGGCUGAUUUUUGUGCGCGGCUGUGCCCGUGGCCUAUUUUUGGCACACAGAGGCCGCCCGCCAAGUAUGGUGCCAUUCCGAGUCCCGCGGACGAACUUCGCCCACGCCGCCCACCAAGGCUAUAGCCCACCCGUUUUUUGGCCAUUUUUCCGCUGGGGGGUCUUGGGACCCCGACCUUCGGGGGCUGAUUUUUGGGCGCGGCUGUGCCCGUGGCCUAUUUUUGGCACACGGAGGCCGCCCGCCAAGUCAGGGGCCAUUCCGAGUCCCGCGGACGAAGUUCGCCCACGCCCCCCACCAAGGCUAUAGCCCACCCGUUUUUUGGCCAUUUUUCCGCUGGGGGGUCUUGGGACCCCGACCUUCGGGGGCUGACUUUUGGGAGCGGCUGUGCCCGUGGCCUAUUUUUGGCACACAGAGGCCGCCCGCCAAGUAUGGUGCCAUUCCGAGUCCCGCGGACGAACUUCGCCCACGCCCCCCACCAAGGCUAUAGCCCACCCGUUUUUUGGCCAUUUUUCCGCUGCGGGGUCUUGGGACCCCGACCUUCGGGGGCUGAUUUUUGGGCGCGGCUGUGCCCGUGGCCUAUUUUUGGCACACAGAGGCCGCCCGCCAAGUAUGGUGCCAUUCCGAGUCCCGCAGACGAACUUCGCCUACGCCGCCCACCAAGGCUAUAGCCCACCCGUUUUUUGGCCAUUUUUCCGCUGGGGGGUCUUGGGACCCCGACCUUCGGGGGCUGAUUUUUGGGCGCGGCUGUGCCCGUGGCCUAUUUUUGGCACACGGAGGCCGCCCGCUAAGUCAGGGGCCAUUCCGAGUCCCGCGGACUAAGUUCGCCCACGCCCCCCACCAAGGCCAUUGCCCGACCGUUUUAUGGCCAUUUUUCCACUGGGGGGUCUUGCGACCCCGACCUUCGGGGGCUGAUUUUUGGGCGCGGCUGUGCCCGUGUCCUAUUUUUGGCACACAGAGGCCGCCCGCCAAGUAUGGUGCCAUUCCGAGUCCCGCGGACGAACUUCGCCCACGCCCCCCACCAAGGCUAUAGCCCACCCGUUUUUUGGCCAUUUUUCCGCUGGGGGGUCUUGGGACCCCGACCUUCGGGGGCUGACUUUUGGGCGCGGCUGUGCCCGUGGCCUAUUUUUGGCACACAGAGGCCGCCCGCCAAGUAUGGUGCCAUUCCGAGUCCCGCGGACGAACUUCGCCCACGCCCCCCACCAAGGCUAUAGCCCACCCGUUUUUUGGCCAUUUUUCCGCUGGGGGGUCUUGGGACCCCGACCUUCGGGGGCUGAUUUUUGGGCGCGCCUGUGCCCGUGGCCUAUUUUUGGCACACAGAGGCCGCCCGCCAAGUAUGGUGCCAUUCCGAGUCCCGCGGACGAACUUCGCCCACGCCCCCCACCAAGGCUAUAGCCCACCCGUUUUUUGGCCAUUUUUCCGCUGGGGGGUCUUGGGACCCCGACCUUCGGGGGCUGACUUUUGGGCGCGGCUGUGCCCGUGGCCUAUUUUUGGCACACAGAGGCCGCCCGCCAAGUAUGGUGCCAUUCCGAGUCCCGCGGACGAACUUCGCCCACGCCCCCCACCAAGGCUAUAGCCCACCCGUUUUUUGGCCAUUUUUCCGCUGGGGGGUCUUGGGACCCCGACCUUCGGGGGCUGAUUUUUGGGCGCGCCUGUGCCCGUGGCCUAUUUUUGGCACACAGAGGCCGCCCGCCAAGUAUGGUGCCAUUCCGAGUCCCGCGGACGAACUUCGCCCACGCCGCCCACCAAGGCUAUAGCCCACCCGUUUUUUGGCCAUUUUUCCGCUGGGGGGUCUUGGGACCCCGACCUUCGGGGGCUGAUUUUUGGGCGUGGCUGUGCCCGUGGCCUAUUUUUGGCACACGGAGGCCGCCCGCCAAGUCAGGGGCCAUUCUGAGUCCCGCGGACGAAGUUCGCCCACGCCCCACACCAAGGCCAUAGCCCACCCGUUUUUUGGCCAUUUUUCCGCUGGGGGGUCUUGGGACCCCGACCUUCGGGGGCUGACUUUUGGGAGCGGCUGUGCCCGUGGCCUAUUUUUGGCACACAGAGGCCGCCCGCCAAGUAUGGUGCCAUUCCGAGUCCCGCGGACGAACUUCGCCCACGCCCCCCACGAAGGCUAUAGCCCACCCGUUUUUUGGCAAUUUUUCCGCUGGGGGGUCUUGGGACCCCGACCUUCGGGGGCUGAUUUUUGGGCGCGGCUGUGCCCGUGGCCUAUUUUUGGCACACGGAGGCCGCCCGCCAAGUCAGGGGCCAUUCCGAGUCCCGCGGACGAAGUUCGCCCACGCCCUCCACCAAGGCUAUAGCCCACCCGUUUUUUGGCUAUUUUUCCACUGGGGGGUCUUGGGACCCCGACUUUCGGGUGCUGAUUUUUGGGCGCGGCUGUGCCCGUGGCCUAUUUUUGGCACACAGAGGCCGCCCGCCAAGUAUGGUGCCAUUCCGAGUCCCGCGGACGAACUUCGCCCACGCCCCCCACCAAGGCUAUAGCCCACCCGUUUUUUGGCCAUUUUUCCGCUGGGGGGUCUUGGGACCCCGACCUUCCGGGGCUGAUUUUUGAGCGCGGCUGUGCCCGUGGCCUAUUUUUGGCACACAGAGGCCGCCCGCCAAGUAUGGUGCCAUUCCGAGUCCCGCGGACGAACUUCGCCCACGCCGCCCACCAAGGCUAUUGCCCACCCGUUUUUUGGCCAUUUUUCCGCUGGGGGGUCUUGGGACCCCGACCUUCGGGGGCUGAUUUUUGGGCGCGGCUGUGCCCGUGGCCUAUUUUUGGCACACAGAGGCCGCCCGCCAAGUAUGGUGCCAUUCCGAGUCCCGCGGACGAACUUCGCCCACGCCGCCCACCAAGGCUAUAACCCACCCGUUUUUUGGCCAUUUUUCCGCUGGGGGGUCUUGGGACCCCGACCUUCGGGGGCUGAUUUUUGGGCGCGGCUGUGCCCGUGGCCUAUUUUUGGCACACAGAGGCCGCCCGCCAAGUAUGGUGCCAUUCCGAGUCCCGCGGACGAACUUCGCCCACGCCCCCCACCAAGGCUAUAGCCCACCCGUUUUUUGGCCAUUUUUCCGCUGGGGGGUCUUGGGACCCCGACCUUCGGGGGCUGAUUUUUGGGCGCGGCUGUGCCCGUGGCCUAUUUUUGGCACACAGAGGCCGCCCGCCAAGUAUGGUGCCAUUCCGAGUCCCGCGGACGAACUUCGCCCACGCCCCCCACCAAGGCUAUAGCCCACCCGUUUUUUGGCCAUUUUUCCGCUGGGGGGUCUUGGGACCCCGACCUUCGGGGGCUGAUUUUUGGGCGCGGCUGUGCCCGUGGCCUAUUUUUCGCACACAGAGGCCGCCCGCCAAGUAUGGUGCCAUUCCGAGUCCCGCGGACGAACUUCGCCCACACCCCCCACCAAGGCUAUAGCCCACCCGUUUUUUGGCCAUUUUUCCGCUGGGGGGUCUUGGGACCCCGACCUUCGGGGGAUGAUUUUUGGGCGCGGCUGUGCCCGUGGCCUAUUUUUGGCACACGGAGGCCGCCCGCCAAGUCAGGGGCCAUUCCGAGUCCCGCGGACGAACUUCGCCCACGCCGCCCACCAAGGCUAUAGCCCACCCGUUUUUUGGCCAUUUUUCCGCUGGGGGAUCUUGGGACCCCGACCUUCGGGGGCUGAUUUUUGGGCGCGGCUGUGCCCGUGGCCUAUUUUUGGCACACAGAGGCCGCCCGCCAAGUAUGGUGCCAUUCCGAGUCCCGCGGAUGAACUUCGCCCACGCCGCCCACCAAGGCUAUAGCCCACCCGUUUUUUGGCCAUUUUUCCGCUGGGGGGUCUUGGGACCCCGACCUUCGGGUGCUGAUUUUAGGGCGCGGCUGUGCCCGUGGCCUAUUUUUGGCACACAGAGGCCGCCCGCCAAGUAUGGUGCCAUUCCGAGUCCCGCGGACGAACUUCGCCCACGCCGCCCACCAAGGCUAUAGCCCACCCGUUUUUUGGCCAUUUUUCCGCUGGGGGGUCUUGGGACCCCGACCUUCGGGUGCUGAUUUUUGGGCGCGGCUGUGCCCGUGGCCUAUUUUUUGGCACACAGAGGGCCGCCCGCCAAGUCAGGGUGCCAUUCCGAGUCCCGCGGACGAAGUUCGCCCACGCCCCCCACCAAGGCUAUAGCCCACCCGUUUUUUGGCCAUUUUUCCGCUGGGGGGUCUUGGGACCCCGACCUUCGGGGGCUGAUUUUUGGGCGCGGCUGUGCCCGUGGCCUAUUUUUGGCACACGGAGGCCGCCCGCCAAGUCAGGGGCCAUUCCGAGUCCCGCGGACGAAGUUCGCCCACGCCCCCCACCAAGGCUAUAGCCCACCCGUUUUUUGGCCAUUUUUCCGCUGGGGGGUCUUGGGACCCCAACCUUCGGGGGCUGAUUUUUGAGCGCGGCUGUGCCCGUGGCCUAUUUUUGGCACACGGAGGCCGCCCGCCAAGACAGGGGCCAUUCCGAGUCCCGCGGACGAACUUCGCCCACGCCGCCCACCAAGGCUAUAGCCCACCCGUUUUUUGGCCAUUUUUCCGCUUGGGGGUCUUGGGACCCCGACCUUCGGGGGCUGAUUUUUGAGCGCGGCUGUGCCCGUGGCCUAUUUUUGGUACACGGAGGCCGCCCGCCAAGUCUGGUGCCAUUCCGAGUCCCGCGGACGAACUUCGCCCACGCCGCCCACCAAGGCUAUAGCCCACCCGUUUUUUGACCAUUUUUCCGCUGGGGGGUCUUGGGACCCCGACCUUCGGGGGCUGAUUUUUGGGCGCGGCUGUGCCCGUGGCCUAUUUUUGGCACACAGAGGCCGCCCGCCAAGUAUGGUGCCAUUCCGAGUCCCGCGGACGAACUUCGCCCACGCCCCCCACCAAGGCUAUAGCCCACCCGUUUUUUGGCCAUUUUUCCGCUGGGGGGUCUUGGGACCCCGACCUUCGGGGGCUGAUUUUUGGGCGCGGCUGUGCCCGUGGCCUAUUUUUGGCACACAGAGGCCGCCCGCCAAGUAUGGUGCCAUUCCGAGUCCCGCGGACGAACUUCGCCCACGCCGCCCACCAAGGCUAUAGCCCACCCGUUUUUUGGCCAUUUUUCCGCUGGGGGGUCUUGGGACCCCGACCUUCGGGGGCUGAUUUUUGGGCGCGGCUGUGCCCGUGGCCUAUUUUUGGCACACGGAGGCCGCCCGCCAAGUCAGGGGCCAUUCCGAGUCCCGCGGACGAAGUUCGCCCACGCCCCACACCAAGGCCAUAGCCCACCCGUUUUUUGGCCAUUUUUCCGCUGGGGGGUCUUGGGACCCCGACCUUCGGGGGCUGAUUUUUGGGCGCGGCUGUACCCGUGGCCCAGUUUUGGCACACGGAGGCCGCCCGCCAAGUCAGGGGCCAUUCCGAGUCCCGCGGAUGAAGUUCGCCCACGCCCCCCACCAAGGCUAUAGCCCACCCGUUUUUUGGCCAUUUUUCCACUGGGGGGUCUUGGGACCCCGACCUUCGGGGGCUGAUUUUUGUACGCGGCUGUGCCCGUGGCCUAUUUUUGGCACACAGAGGCCGCCCGCCAAGUAUGGUGCCAUUCCGAGUCCCGCGGACGAACUUCGCCCACGCCCCCCACCAAGGAUAUAGCCCACCCGUUUUUUGGCCAUUUUUCCGCUGGGGGGUCUUGGGACCCCGACCUUCAGGGGCUGAUUUUUGGGCGCGGCUGUGCCCGUGGCCUAUUUUUGGCACACGGAGGCCGCCCGCCAAGUCAGGGGCCAUUCCGAGUCCCGCGGACGAAGUUCGCCCACGCCCCCCACCAAGGCUAUAGCCAACCCGUUUUUUGGCCAUUUUUCCGCUGGGGGGUCUUGGGACCCCGACCUUCGGGGGCUGAUUUUUGGGCGCGGCUGUGCCCGUGGCCUAUUUUUGGCACACAGAGGCCGCCCGCCAAGUAUGGUGCCAUUCCGAGUCCCGCGGACGAACUUCGCCCACGCCGCCCACCAAGGCUAUAGCCCACCCGUUUUUUGGCCAUUUUUCCGCUGGGGGGUCAUGGGACCCCGACCUUCGGGGGCUGAUUUUUGGGCGCGGCUGUGCCCGUGGCCUAUUUUUGGCACACAGAGGCCGCCCGCCAAGUAUGGUGCCAUUCCGAGUCCCGCGGACGAACUUCGCCCACGCCCCCCACCAAGGCUAUAGCCCACCCGUUUUUUGGCCAUUUUUCCGCUGGGGGGUCUUGGGACCCCGACCUUCGGGGGCUGAUAUUUGGGCGCGGCUGUGCCCGUGGCCCAGUUUUGGCACACGGAGGCCGCCCGCCAAGUCGGGGGCCAUUCCGAGUCCCGCGGAUGAAGUUCGCCCACGCCCCCCACCAAGGCUAUAGCCCACCCGUUUUUUGGCCAUUUUUCCGCUGGGUGGUCUUGGGACCCCGACCUUCGGGGGCUGAUUUUUGGGCGCGGCUGUGCCCGUGGCCUAUUUUUGGCACACAGAGGCCGCCCGCCAAGUAUGGUGCCAUUCCGAGUCCCGCGGACGAACUUCGCCCACGCCGCCCACCAAUUCUAUAGCCCACCCGUUUUUUGGCCAUUUUUCCGCUGGGGGGUCUUGGGACCCCGACCUUCGGGGGCUGAUUUUUGGGCGCGGCUGUGCCCGUGGCCUAUUUUUGGCACACGGAGGCCGCCCGCCAAGUCAGGGGCCAUUCCGAGUCCCGCGGACGAAGUUCGCCCACGCCGUCCACCAAGGCUAUAGCCCACCCGUUUUUUGGCCAUUUUUCCACUGGGGGGUCUUGGGACACCGACUUUCGGGUGCUGAUUUUUGGGCGCGGCUGUGCCCGUGGCCUAUUUUUGGCACACAGAGGCCGCCCACCAAGUAUGGUGCCAUUCCGAGUCCCGCGGACGAACUUCGCCCACGCCCCCCACCAAGGCUAUAGCCCACCCGUUUUUUGGC